rnacentral:piRNA from 1 species
UAUGGAAACAGUACUGAAGUC